rnacentral:rRNA from 1 species
AUUGAACGCUGGCGGCAGGCCUAACACAUGCAAGUCGAACGAGUGGCGGACGGGUGAGUAAUGUCUGGGAAACUGCCUGAUGGAGGGGGAUAACUACGGGAAACGGUAGCUAAUAACACAUACCAUCGGAUGUCCCCAGAGGGGUUUAGCUAGUAGGUGGGGGAAAGGCUCAACUAGGCGACGAUCCCUAGCUGGUCUGAGAGGAUGACCAGCCACACUGGAACUGAGACACGGUCCAGACUCCUACGGGAGGCAGCAGUGGGGAAUAUUGCACAAGGGGCGCAAGCCUGAUGCAGCCAUGCCGCGUGUAUGACGAAGGCCUUCGGGUUGUAAAGUACUUUCAGCGGGGAGGCGUUACCCGCAGAAGAAGCACCGGCUAACUCCGUGCCAGCAGCCGCGGUAAUUC